UACGUAGGUGGCAAGCGUUGUCCGGAUUUAUUGGGUUUAAAGGGUGCGUAGGCGGCUUUAUAAGUCAGUGCUGAAAUAUCCCGGCUUAACCGGGAGGGUGGCAUUGAUACUGCAGAGCUUGAGUGAAGUCGAGGUAGGCGGAAUUCCAGGUGUAGCGGUGAAAUGCGUAGAUAUCUGGAGGAAUACUGGUGGCGAAGGCGGCAUCCUGGACCGGCAUUGACGCUGAGGAGCGAAAGCGUGGGGAGCGAACAGG
rnacentral:rRNA from 1 species